rnacentral:rRNA from 1 species
GCUAAACGCGAAGAACCUUACCCAGGCUUGACAUGCAGUAGACAGCGCUAGAGAUAGCGCCUUCCUUCGGGACUGCUGCACAGGUGCUGCAUGGCUGUCGUCAGCUCGUGCCGUGAAGGUGUUGGGUUAAGUCCCGCAACGAGCGCAACCCUUUAUCGUAUGUUGCCAGCAUUUAGUUGGGCACUCGUGCGAGACUGCCGGUGAUAAGCCGGAGGAAGGCGGGGACGACGUCAAGUCAUCAUGGCCCUUACGUGUGGGGCUAGAAACGGUGCUACAAUGGGAAUAGACAGUGAGCAGCGAGGUCGCGAGGCCAAGCUAAUCUCCAAAAAGCUCUCUCAGUUCAGAAUUGU